rnacentral:rRNA from 1 species
AGCGGCAGACGGGUGAGUAACACGUGGGCAACUACCCCGAGCGGGGGAUAACCACUGGAAACGGUGGCUAAUACCGCAUGAGACCACGACCCUGCGGGGUCAUGGUUAAAGGCUUCGGCCACCUUGGGAGGGGCCCGCGGCCGAUUAGCUAGUUGGUGAGGUAAUGGCUCACCAAGGCGACGAUCGGUAGCUGGUCUGAGAGGAUGAUCAGCCACACUGGUACUGAGACACGGACCAG